UUAAUUAUUUUGUGGCGAAUAAUUAAAUAAUUGAUAAAUAAAAAUAAUGAUGUUGCUAAAUAAAAAUUAAAAGAAGAAAAAGAAGUAGAAAGUUAUAUAUAGAGGUGUUGAGAACAUAGAGGGGGUGUAGAUAGGAAAAUGGUAGAGAAAAGAAUAAAGAAGAAAAAACACAAUUUUAAUUCCCAUUAAAUCAUUUUAAAAAUAAUAAUGCUAUUGUCCGUUGUAAUUAAAUGGUUUAAAGGGUGGUGAAGUUGAGAAGAGUUGGUAUACUCAUACAAACAAAAGAAAACAAACAUAAAAAAAUAUAGUGCUAGUGGGUGAGAGAAAAGAGAAAUAGCUCAUGGCAGAGUGAAAAGAAGCAAAAGAAAGGAAAAGCUUAACCUCAAUUUAGGGAGUUCACUGCAAUCCAAAUUUUCAGGUAGGAGACGAAUCAUAGAUGGUGUGUUCGGAUAGCCGUUGCUUUGCUAUUUAUUUGGAGUCGCUCUGUUAGGAUGUUGUUGGGAGAAACUUUUAUUUAAUCAUGUUGUUAAAUUUUUAUGACAAUUGAGCUAUGUCACUUGAUUCAGUAUUUUCAAUUCGGACUUUGAAACUUAUAUUAUUUUUGUAUUUUCCGCUGCAUGAUUUUUAAUCAUUUGAGGAAUUA